rnacentral:lncRNA from 1 species
AGUUUAGGGUUUAAAACCCUAAUGUUGACUAAAGGGAAAAUUCAGUUUAGGGUUUAAAACCCUAAUGCUGAUUGCAUGGAAAAGCUCAGUUUAGAGUUUAAAACUCUAAUGCUGGCUGAAAAGGAAAAAGUUCAGUUUAGGGUUUAAAGCCCUAAUGCUGACUAAAAGGAAAAUUCAGUUUAGGGUUUAAAACCCUAAUGCUGAUUGCAUGGAAAAGCUCAGUUUAAAGUUUAAAACUCUAAUGCUGGCUGAAAAAGGAAAAAGUUCAGUUUAGGGUUUAAAACCCUAAUGCUGACUAAAAGGAAAAUUCAGUUUAGGGGUUUAAAACCCUAAUGCUGAUUGCAUGGAAAAGCUCAGUUUAGAGUUUAAAACUCUAAUGCUGAUUGGCCGAAGAAGCUCGAGAAUGCUACCGAUCUAUUUUU